rnacentral:rRNA from 1 species
UACGGAGGGUGCAAACGUUGCUCGGAAUUAUUGGGCGUAAAGCGCACGUAGGCGGCCAGGAAAGUCAACUGUGAAAGCCCUCGGCUCAACCGAGGAAUUGCAACUGAAACUGCCUGGCUUGAGUACGGGAGAGGGUGACGGAAUUCCCGGUGUAGAGGUGAAAUUCGUAGAUAUCGGGAGGAACACCAGUGGCGAAGGCGGUCACCUGGACCGAUACUGACGCUGAGUGUGCGAAAGCGUGGGGAGCAAACAGGAUUAGAUACCCCCGUA